AUAAAGGGGAUCCAGAACAGAAGUGCUCGCUAUUCAACCGCCGAAAAAUGCAAUUCUUGUAGAAAUCUCAAAAUGUCAAAAGUUUUUGAUACCAAAUCACAGCAUGGCUUUUUCUAUGGUGUUCCUCAAGGUCUUGGUGUCUUAAUGGGGUAUUUUGGAG